CCUACGGGCGGCAGCAGUGGGGAAUAUUGCACAAUGGGCGAAAGCCUGAUGCAGCAACGCCGCGUGAGCGAUGAAGGCCUUCGGGUCGUAAAGCUCUGUCCUCAAGGAAGAUAAUGACGGUACUUGAGAAGGAAGCCCCGGCUAACUACGUCCCAGCAGCCGCGCUAAUACGUAGGGGGCUAGGGUUAUCCGGAAUUACUGGGCGUAAAGGGUGCGUAGGUGGUUUCUUAAGUCAGAGGUGAAAGGCUAGGGCUCAACCGUAGUAAGCCUUUGAAACUGGGGAACUUGAGUGCAGGAGAGGAGAGUGGAAUUCCUAGUGUAGCGGUGAAAUGCGUAGAUAUUAGGAGGAACACCAGUUGCGAAGGCGGCUCUCUGGACUGUAACUGACACUGAGGCACGAAAGCGUGGGGAGCAAACAGGAUUAGAUACCCUUGUAGUC
rnacentral:rRNA from 1 species